AUGAACGCUGGCGGCGUGCCUAAUACAUGCAAGUCGAGCGAACAGACGAGGAGCUUGCUCCUCUGACGUUAGCGGCGGACGGGUGAGUAACACGUGGAUAACCUACCUAUAAGACUGGGAUAACUUCGGGAAACCGGAGCUAAUACCGGAUAAUAUAUUGAAUCGCAUGGUUCAAUAGUGAAAGACGGUUUUGCUGUCACUUAUAGAUGGAUCCGCGCCGCAUUAGCUAGUUGGUAAGGUAACGGCUUACCAAGGCAACGAUGCGUAGCCGACCUGAGAGGGUGAUCGGCCACACUGGAACUGAGACACGGUCCAGACUCCUACGGGAGGCAGCAGUAGGGAAUCUUCCGCAAUGGGCGAAAGCUUGACGGAGCAUCGCCGCGUGAGUGAUGAAGGUCUUCGGAUCGUAAAACUCUGUUAUUAGGGAAGAACAAAUGUGUAAGUAACUAUGCACGUCUUGACGGUACCUAAUCAGAAAGCCACGGCUAACUACGUG
rnacentral:rRNA from 1 species